UGCAAGCCGAGCGGUAUAGAAUCUUCGGAUUUUAGAGAGCGGCGUACGGGUGCGUAACACGUGUGCAACCUACCUUUAUCAGGAGGAUAGCCUUUCGAAAGGAAGAUUAAUACUCCAUAAUAUAUUAGAUGGCAUCAUUUAAUAUUGAAAACUCCGGUGGAUAGAGAUGGGCACGCGCAAGAUUAGAUAGUUGGUGAGGUAACGGCUCACCAAGUCAUUGAUCUUUAGGGGUCCUGAGAGGGAGAUCCCCCACACUGGUACUGAGACACGGACCAGACUCCUACGGGAGGCAGCAGUGAGGAAUAUUGGACAAUGGGUGAGAGCCUGAUCCAGCCAUCCCGCGUGAAGGAUGACGGUCCUACGGAUUGUAAACUUCUUUUGUAUAGGGAUAAACCCAGAUACGUGUAUCUGGCUGAAGGUACUAUACGAAUAAGCACCGGCUAACUCCGUGCCAGCAGCCGCGGUAAUACGGAGGGUGCAAGCGUUAUCCGGAUUUAUUGGGUUUAAAGGGUCCGCAGGCGGGCCGAUAAGUCAGUGGUGAAAUCUCAUAGCUUAACUAUGAAACUGCCAUUGAUACUGUCGGUCUUGAGUAAAUUAGAGGUAGCUGGAAUAAGUAGUGUAGCGGUGAAAUGCAUAGAUAUUACUUAGAACACCAAUUGCGAAGGCAGGUUACCAUGAUUUAACUGACGCUGAGGGACGAAAGCGUGGGGAGCGAACAGGAUUAGAUACCCUGGUAGUCCACGCCGUAAACGAUGCUAACUCGUUUUUGGGGCGCAAGCUUCAGAGACCAAGCGAAAGUGAUAAGUUAGCCACCUGGGGAGUACGUUCGCAAGAAUGAAACUCAAAGGAAUUGACGGGGGCCCGCACAAGCGGUGGAUUAUGUGGUUUAAUUCGAUGAUACGCGAGGAACCUUACCAAGACUUAAAUGGGAAAUGACAGGUUUAGAAAUAGAUCCUUCUUCGGACAUUUUUCAAGGUGCUGCAUGGUUGUCGUCAGCUCGUGCCGUGAGGUGUUAGGUUAAGUCCUGCAACGAGCGCAACCCCUGUCACUAGUUGCUAACAUUAAGUUGAGGACUCUAGUGAGACUGCCUACGCAAGUAGAGAGGAAGGUGGGGAUGACGUCAAAUCAUCACGGCCCUUACGUCUUGGGCCACACACGUAAUACAAUGGCCGGUACAGAGGGCAGCUACACAGCGAUGUGAUGCAAAUCUCGAAAGCCGGUCUCAGUUCGGAUUGGAGUCUGCAACUCGACUCUAUGAAGCUGGAAUCGCUAGUAAUCGCGCAUCAGCCAUGGCGCGGUGAAUACGUUCCCGGGCCUUGUACACACCGCCCGUCAAGCCAUGGAAGUCUGGGGUACCUGAAGUCGGUGACCGUAAAAG
rnacentral:rRNA from 1 species